UACAGAGUGAUAAAGAGAUGUCAGCAAAUGGCAGAAAACGAUAACACAAAAAUCUAGCUUGUACUAUUAAUUCGUACGGAUAACUAUGGCAUCUACAGAUACUCUAAUACUGGGCAGUACAGUAUCAACUAUUAUUGUCGAACAAGAUUUUACAGGCACCAACAAAACGUGUAUUUGCAAGGUUUGCAGAAGCACGGAGGUGAUCCGGUUUUGACAUUUUGGAAAGCAUUUGGAAUACUGAUAUCGUCUGUCAGAAGCCAUUAGAGAAUUUGAAUCCAUCCAUGAAAGUGAAAAAGUUGUCCUGUGUUGUUUGAUGGCAUUAAUUUAUGCACAUAAAAAAGGCACAAUUAAUUGACAAGGAAAGUGUACAUGAAUUGGAAACAAGAUUGAAAAAGAUUCGAACAAGUGUUGGUGAGAAUGUGCUAUACUUUACUGCAAUGUUUUUAUGGCACACAGGGCAUCAUAAAAAAGCAAGAGAAUAUGUUGACAGAAUGUUGAAAAUGUCCAAUGGUUCGAAAGAGGGAACUAUUUUACGUGGAUGUAUUGAUCUUACAAGUACACGAGAUUCUGCCAUUAAGAAAUCCAUAAAAUAUUUUGAUGAGGCUUUACAGGGAGAAUAUUGAUGCACUGUUUGGGAAGG